AUUGAACGCUAGCGGGAUGCUUUACACAUGCAAGUCGAACGGCAGCGCGGACUUCGGUCUGGCGGCGAGUGGCGAACGGGUGAGUAAUGUAUCGGAACGUGCCCAGUAGCGGGGGAUAACUACGCGAAAGCGUAGCUAAUACCGCAUACGCCCUACGGGGGAAAGCAGGGGAUCGUAAGACCUUGCACUAUUGGAGCGGCCGAUAUCGGAUUAGCUAGUUGGUGAGGUAACGGCUCACCAAGGCGACGAUCCGUAGCUGGUUUGAGAGGACGACCAGCCACACUGGGACUGAGACACGGCCCAGACUCCUACGGGAGGCAGCAGUGGGGAAGUUUGGACAAUGGGGGCAACCCUGAUCCAGCCAUCCCGCGUGUGCGAUGAAGGCCUUCGGGUUGUAAAGCACUUUUGGCAGGAAAGAAACGUCGCGGGCUAAUACCCCGUGGAACUGACGGUACCUGCAGAAUAAGCACCGGCUAACUACGUG
rnacentral:rRNA from 1 species